GUUGACCGUGUGUACAUUUUUAGAAUGAAGCGCAGUUCAAGUAUAGUUAUUGUGAGUGGUUCAUGUCUGUCAUUAUUGUUUUUCGAAAAUGGUUUUGUUAUAAAUUAGACUGCUAGUUUUCUCUCUUGAAGUGUUUCACAUUUUUCAUCGUGGGACCUUUUUGUAGCCCGCUUUGUCACGGGUAUGAUUUUUGUUGAAUGCCGCAUGGUUAUAUACCUAUAGUUGCCUCCUAGCACGUUAUUUUAACUUUUCAUUUUAAUUGCCUCAUGGUAUAUUGUAGCCUGGUAUCUGCGUGCAGCAUUUAUAUCUGAGAUUCUAACAUGAC
rnacentral:lncRNA from 1 species